rnacentral:rRNA from 1 species
AGCAGUAGCCGCGGUAAUACGGAGGGUGCAAGCGUUAAUCGGAAUUACUGGGCGUAAAGCGCACGCAGGCGGUCUGACAAGUCAGAUGUGAAAUCCCCGGGCUUAACCUGGGAACUGCAUUUGAAACUGUCAGGCUGGAGUCUUGUAGAGGGGGGUAGAAUUCCAGGUGUAGCGGUGAAAUGCGUAGAGAUCUGGAGGAAUACCGGUGGCGAAGGCGGCCCCCUGGACAAAGACUGACGCUCAGGUGCGAAAGCGUGGGGAGCAAACAGGAUUAGAUACCCCUGUAGUCCUGUCUCUUAUACC